GACGAACGCUGGCGGCGUGCUUAACACAUGCAAGUCGAACGAAGUGGCGAACGGGUGAGUAACGCGUAAUCAACCUGCCCUUCAGAGGGGGACACCAGUUGGAAACGACUGCUAAUACCGCAUACUGAAGGAGGGGAUUGCGUGUGAUUAGCUAGUGGGAGGGGUAACGGCCCACAAAGGCGAUGAUCAGUAGCCGGUCUUAGAGGAGGAACGGCCACAUUGGGACUGAGAAACGGCCCAGACUCCUACGGGAGGCAGCAGUGGGGAAUCUUCCGCAAUGGAGGAAAGGCUGACGGAGCAACGCCGCGUGAGUGAUGACGGCCUUCGGGUUGGAAAGCUCUGUUAAUCGGGACGCGGUACCGGAAUAGAAAGCCACGGCUAACUACGUGCCAGCAGCCGCGGUAAUUC
rnacentral:rRNA from 1 species